AUUGAACGCUGGCGGCAGGCCUAACACAUGCAAGUCGAGCGAGCGGCGGACGGGUGAGGUAUGCCUGGGUAUUGCCCAGUCGAGGGGGAUAACAGAUGGAAACGACUGCUCAUCCCGCAUACGAUUGGAUCGCAUAGGUGGGAUUAGUUAGUUGGUGAGUUAAUGGCUCACCAAGGCGACGAUCUCUCGCUGGGACGAGAGGAUGAUCAGCCACACUGGAACUGAGACACGGGCCAGACUCCUACGGGAGGCAGCAGUGGGGAAUAUUGCACAAUGGGGGAAAGCCUGAUGCAGCCAUGCCGCGUGUGUGAAGAAGGCCUUCGGGUUGUAAAGCACUUUCAGCGAGGAGGCGUUACUCACAGAAGAAGCACCGGCUAACUCCGUGCCAGCCGCCGCGGUAAUAC
rnacentral:rRNA from 1 species